rnacentral:misc_RNA from 1 species
GGUCCGCGAAAGCCUCCCGUACCUCACGCCCUGGACGCUUCGCGCGAAAACGUUUUUUUUACGGGACCGAAUGCGGGGAGAUUUCCUCAAAGAUAUCUUCUGUUGAAAAGAAUUUAAAUAAGUAUUUUAAAAGUAAUUAAUGUCUAGCUAAGAUAUUGUCAUUAAGAGUAACUAAGUCUUGGAACUCAUUAACUUUUGUUUAUAAGAGAAACGGUCGGGAAAAUUAAGAUCAUUACGAAAUGUACGGGUGGUUGCUUGAAAGUGUGCAGCAUUUCAUCGUGCAAGAAUGCGGGGAAGAAAUAUGGGAGACGAUUCUGCGAGAGGCCGGGGCCCGGAAUACUGUUUUCAGUGCCACACAACAAUACCCAGACGCCCUGAUGCUACGUCUGGCCAGCGCGUUAGCACGUUUUAUCACCAUUGACCCAAAUAGUCCCGCACCCUCGCAACCCAGUAGCCCUGGACCGAGGAAACAGUCCCUCAAGUCCAAACCAUCCUGGAGAAGCAACUCAGUACACACAGACGGAAGGGCGCACUUCAGAUGCCCCUUCACAGCAACCAAUGCCCUCACUGCUGCAACCAGGAAAGAAAUACACGCGUACACAUCCUCCGAAGAGAUAUCAACUCCCACACCAGCGCAAACGUUAUCAGCAGAAAGAAUAAACGAAGGUGUAGAGCUUGAAAUCACUAAUAAGAAUGAAUACAGAGAUUUCAAUCGAAGGAGUCUUGGAUACAAGCUUGAGCAUCACAAGACUAUCGAUGUGUGCGAACCUCUAAGUCCGAGUCCUUCUGAUAAUGUUGAAGAAGAAAAAGAGGAGAAAAGUCCGAAGGCAGAGGAAUCUACCCCUACAUCGCCUACUUCCUCAAAUUCUGAAUGCAGCAAGGUUAGUUCCAUUGCCAAGAGUCCUAUAUCACGGAAGAGUAGCUGUACCUUGGCAUUGGACGUAUACAGAAGGCGAGGAUCGGGAGUGCCUAUCAGACCACGACUGAACAGCCUCACCCAAAUUGUGAGUGGAGAUAAAUUGAAUGCGAUGAAAGAGAAAUUCGGAACUCCUGAAAAAGUGAUGCACUUCUUUGGACGAUGCUUCGUCAAGUUCUUCAGUAAUUAUGGCUACGACACGAUGAUCCGCGCGACGGGGCGCUACUUCUGCACGUUCCUGCAAUCAGUGGACAGCAUCCACCAGCGCAUGCGGUUCACGUUCCCGCGCAUGCGCUCGCCGAGCAUGCAGCUGACGCGUGCGCAUCGACACGGCGCUGAGCUCGUCUAUAGCAGCACCAGGACCGGGUUCACGCACUAUCUUAUGGGUCAGCUGUACGAGAUAGCGGAAGACAUAUUUUCCCUGAAGCUGAAGGUGUCCAUCAUGAAGGAGUCAAUGGAAGGGAGCUACUACGUCGCAGUGCUUCGACUCGAGUUCGAUAACAGCGAUUAUGUGCAAUCCCUAAUGUUGCGCAAGAGUCUGCCGUGUCCGCUGCCGCCGGUGCCGGUGUCUAUUCUGCUGCAGCUGUUCCCCUUCGGAGUGCUGCUUGACCGCAAGAUGAGGGUCGUCAGUGCUGGCUGCAAGUUAAUAGAAGCUUGGGGCGGCCCCUUCAGCCGGAUAGAGAAGCAGCCUGUGUCAGAAAUACUGCGGUUGAGGAAGCCUAAAGUAUCAUUUACUUGGGAUAAGGUGGUAUGCAUGCAGACGAUGAUGUUCGAGUUGGAGCUGAUGCGCUGGCGCACGCGUGUGGGCGGCGGAGACGCACGGCGAGGGUCCCAGGGCGCACGCGCCGUGCUCUUCAAAGGACCCAUCUACCUGCUGGAAGAGAUCGACAGCUUGAUUUUCUUAUGCAGCCCCAUCUUCAACGACCUCGACGAGCUAAGACAAGCGGACCUCUUCCUGGCCGACAUGAACGGCCACGGGCUGUCCAAAGAGAUGCUCUUACAAGGCUGGCAGCACCUCUCCCGACUAGAGCUCCUCUUUGAGAAGGCAGAGAGCCGCAGUCUCUCGCUUGAGAAGUCCUGCCGGCUGCGGGACCAGUGGAAGAAGAAAGGGGAUCAGCUGCUAUACUCCAUGAUACCGAAGAGUGUCGCGUAUCACUUGAGGGCGGGGAAGGAUCCUAUGGAUACUUUUCAGCACUUCGAGUGCGUGACGAUAAUAUUCUGCGCGGUGCAACUGUCGCAGGCGGGCAGCCGCGCUGACGUCAUGCAGACAUACGCGUACAUGAACGAUGUCUACUCCAAGAUGGACCGGCUACUGGACGCGCACCGCGUCUAUAAGGCAUCCACUCGGGGCCGUGUCGCGCAGGCGUGCUAGGGCUAAAGCUGCCUCGGUACUGCCUCGUCGGCGACACCGUCAACACUGCCAGCCGCAUGCAGACCACCUCCGAGCCUGGUAGAAUCCAAAUCUCUGCUCAAACCGCUGCGGAGCUGCCCAGUGGGAAGUUCAGGCUUCGCCGAAGGGGUCUCAUCAAAGUUAAA